rnacentral:rRNA from 1 species
UGGUAUACUCCGGACGGCUCGUUUAACACAUGCAAGUUCGAGCGAGAAAUAGGCUUCGGCCAUGAGUACAGCGGCGAACGGGUGAGUAACACGUGGAUGACCUACCCUGAAGUGGGGGAUAACUCGAGGAAACUUGGGCUAAUACCGCAUAAGCUCCGAGAAUUGCGAUUCGAGGAGGAAAGCUGGCCACUACAUGUAAGCUGGUGCUUUUGGAUGGGUCCGCGUCUGAUUAGCUUGUUGGUGGGGUAAUGGCCCACCAAGGCGACUAUCAGUAGCCGGCCUGAGAGGGUGAUCGGCCACACUGGAACUGAGACACGGUCCAGACUCCUACGGGAGGCAGCAGUGGGGAAUAUUGGACAAUGGGCGCAAGCCUGAUCCAGCAACGCCGCGUGGAGGACGAAGGCUUUCGGGUCGUAAACUCCUGUCAGGUGGGAAGAAGAAUCGUCGGUCAAUAUUCGUCGAUUUUGACGGUACCACCAGAGGAAGCCCCGGCUAACUCCGUGCCAGCAGCCGCGGUAAUACGGGGGGGGGCAAGCGUUAUUCGGAAUUACUGGGCGUAAAGGGCGUGUAGGCGGCAUGGCAAGUCAAAGGUGAAAGCCCUCGGCUCAACCGAGGAACUGCCUUUGAAACUGCCAAGCUAGAGACCGGGAGGGGGUGGCGGAAUUCCUGGUGUAGCGGUGAAAUGCGUAGAUAUCAGGAGGAACACCGGUGGCGAAGGCGGCCACCUGGACCGGUUCUGACGCUGAAGCGCGAAAGUGUGGGGAGCAAACAGGAUUAGAUACCCUGGUAGUCCACACUGUAAACGAUGGGCACUCG